GCGGACGGGCCGGGCGGGGCGGCGGGUUUAAGGCGCCGGCCGGCCCUACGCGGCUCACUCGCGCCCUUGCCGCUGCGACCGCACCCUACCAUGGAGCGGCCGUCGCUGCGCGCCCUGCUCCUCGGCGCCGCUGGGCUGCUGCUCCUGCUCCUGCCCCUCUCCUCUUCCUCCUCUUCGGACACCUGCGGCCCCUGCGAGCCGGCCGCCUGCCCGCCCCUGCCCCCGCUGGGCUGCCUGCUGGGCGAGACCCGCGACGCGUGCGGCUGCUGCCCGAUGUGCGCCCGCGGCGAGGGCGAGCCGUGCGGGGGUGGCGGCGCCGGCAGGGGGUACUGCGCGCCGGGCAUGGAGUGCGUGAAGAGCCGCAAGAGGCGGAAGGGUAAAGCCGGGGCAGCAGCCGGCGGUCCGGGGGUAAGCGGCGUGUGCGUGUGCAAGAGCCGCUACCCGGUGUGCGGCAGCGACGGCACCACCUACCCGAGCGGCUGCCAGCUGCGCGCCGCCAGCCAGAGGGCCGAGAGCCGCGGGGAGAAGGCCAUCACCCAGGUCAGCAAGGGCACCUGCGAGCAAGGUGGGCACGAGCGCUUCCCUCUCCAACCCUGCGCCGCUCGGCCCAGCGAAGGGCACAUCCGACGGGGCGUCCGCGGCGGCCUCGCCCCGCGCUGCUCACCACGAUUCCCCCGCGGGCAUCCGAGGAGCCAGAUGGGAGGGAAAGAGUUGGCAGCCGCGGAAUGCCAGGAGCGGUGGGCGACGCCCCCCCUUCUCCUUUUUGGUGCUUUUAUUUUGAGAGUUUGGUGCGUGCGUCCAGAAAGUGAGGGCCGGGUGUAUAUGUAGAAAAGAUUUCCCGAGACCUCAAGACUUCCCCAUGCCCAGAGCGCACCCAACUCGUGCUGACAUCUGUCCAUUUCUCAUCAUUCUUUCUUGGCUUGGGGAUGUAGAGAGAGGUGAAGUCAAGAGAUGGGGGAAAGGAGUUUGACAAUUAAAUACAAAGUAAGGACUUCCAGACAGAUUUUUUUUUUAAAGAUAGGAUCUUUCUCUGUCGCCCAGGGUGGAGGGCAGUGGCACCAUCUUGGCCCACUGCAACCUCUGCCUCAAGCGAUCCUCCUGCCUCAGCCUCCCAAGUAGCUGGGACUACAAGCCUGUGCCACCACGCCUGGCCAAUUUUUGUUUUUUUGUUUUGUUUGUUUUGUUUUGUUUUGUUUUGUUUUGUUUUGUUUUGUAGCGACGGAGAGUUCGAGAUCAGCCUGACCAACAUGGUGAAACCCCAUCUCUAAUAAAAAAAUAUAUAUAUAUAAAUUAGCUGGGCAUGGUGGUGCACGCCUGUAAUCGCAGCUACUCAGGAGGCUGAGGCAGGAGAAUCGCUUGAAUCUGGGAGGCAGAGGUUGCAGUGAGCAGAGAUCACACCACAGCAUUCCAGCCUGGGUGACAGAUAGAGACCCCAUCUCAAAAAAAAAAGAAAAAAGAAAGAAGAAAAUAAAGUCUGGACUUGCAAAUACACGCACACGCACACACGUAGAAAUUUUCACUGUAAUGCCUGAAAUAACAUUUUCCAUCGGCAGUAUUUUCAAGGGAAAGUCAGACGUUCAAUGUUGACAGCUCCUGAUCUUAGCCGAGGUAGAAAAGGGAGACGAGGCAGUUCUGAGGUGACAGAAGCUGUUGCUUCUUUAACACAGUUCAGACUUUCUCCAGAAUUUCCACAUUUUUUCUUUAGAGCAUUUCCCAGAAGUCCACAAACUAAUAGGUUGUAUGUCAUCAAUUUCAGAGUUCACUAUUGAAAGCCUUAAAUUGUGUAACUCAAUAGUAACUAUUUAUAGUAUCAUCACCUUAAACUUAGAAAAUUGCAACCCAAAAUAAUCUGCAUAUGUUUCCAAUAGAAACAGUUAUUUGUUACUUUGGAUCUCAUUUGUCGGUCACAUCAUGAAAAGAUAAAUGUGCGUUAUUUAAGAAUUUAUUCCAAAUAUUGAGAUUUUCUUAUAAACGUUACAAUGGGGAACUUUAUAGUUUUUUCAAAAUGACAGAUACUUGCCUUAUCAAAGCAGAAGGUUAGCUUGGUGAUUGUUCAAGUGUUGUCAAUUUCUAGUUUAUACUUAAUAUUCCUUUUUCUCACCUGCUACUUACAUCACCAAACACUCACACAGUCUGAUUAUAAAAUACUGAGACUGACAGUUAUAUAGAACCAGUUUCAUAACCUCGUUACCACGUACCCCCAGCUCAGUACCUCUCCAGACUGCAAACCCUUUGAGGGUUCUGGCCCGGCUUUUCUUUAUAUUUGGGGAAAUGUUAGAGAAAACAGCAUCUAAAACUGGAAACCUUGACUUAAAUUAGCCAUUUCUUCUCAUCCUAAAUUGAGAGAGAUGAGGUCUAAAUGGCAGAGACCAUUUAUAGGAGAAUGCCAAAGAGAGCAGAAGAGAAUGGGAAGCCUUUCCCACAGCAGAACCUUUCCACAGCAGAGACAAUAGACUGAUCCCUAUCACGUCCCCUAAAUAUUUCUUCUAACACCUGGAUGGGUUUUGACAAUCAUAGAAGCAAACUGGACAGAGUGCCAUUUACUUCUGUGCCAUUUCAUACUAGGGCUUUGCACAGAAUAGGAAAUGCAUUGUCUAGGUUCCUCUAGACCUCUAGGUUCCUUUCUAUUCUCAGAAGAAACUUAAGUUAUGCUUGAGUAUAACUUGAGUAGGGGCCGGGUAGGGGCAGCAUUGUGGGAUUCAGCCACAAUGGUGUGAUUCAAUCUGCCUUCUGGUCUUUGGUCCCAUUUAACAUGCAUUUACUGAGCAGCUAGCUUGAGUCAGCGCUGUACUAGGUGCUAUAUACCAGGGAUGUACAAAACAGAUUUGAUGUUGCUGAUUAAGAAAGUAUCUGUACAAGUUACAAACUCACCUCCCAGAGCACUUGCCCUGGAGCCCUGGAGCUUGCCCCAGUCUUCCUCCUUUCUAAGAUCACCACUUACCCACCUGGGAAGAGAUCUUGGUCUGCUUGUUUUCCAUACCUCUCUGGUAGGAGGCAAAGCGAUCUGCUUGAAAAUAUGUCUGAAAGAUAAUCAGCAAAUAAUUUCAAAUCUUGGAACUGUCAUUAUGAAUUUACUGCCAUUAGAUUGUAUUGAGGUCCCUGAAGUUGUGGGUAACCAGAGGGGGGAAUUUGAAGAUUCCAUUUAAUAAAAAGAAGUUGAUACAAAGAAGCUAAGAUAUAUAAUAAAAUUUCAUAGUUGGAAGAGAACAUGAUGCUUCUCUAUUCCAAUUACUGGUUGUACCUUUUGUUCAUAGUCUUUUAAAUCUGAGCUCUUUGGCAAUCCCAUUUCAGCCACUUUGGUCUCAUUAGGUACCAUCCUUUCUCCCUCAGAAUUAAUUUUCACUUCUGGAAUCAGAAUGUCAUUCUCAAGGGUCUCCCUUCUUAGUACCUUUAGGACCAAGUUCAAACUACCUAGCAGGACAUAACAGGCCCUUCACAAUAUAACUCCAUUCUAUUAUUUUGACCUCUUCUCUCCAACCUCCUUUAUGCACUAGCCACAGUAAGUGUCUGCUAUUCACACUUCAGCACAUAUGUCUCUAUGCUUUCAUGCCUCUGUAGAGGUUGUGCCUUCUGCCUGCAAUGCCUCUCACCUCCACACGCACCACAAUCGCACCCUCCUUCACUUCCUUUCCAUCCUUUGAACUCUUACCUAUGAUCCUUUUGUAGUUCAUAAGCAUGGUGAUUGAGUGUUCAUACACAUGUGUGAGGUAUGUCACCCCCAAACCUUUUAUGACAUUGGCACAUUACCUGUCUGACAUGAAAGAAAAAAAAUAAUAAAAAUUUAAAAAAUGGGCGGCCAGGCACGGUGGCUCACGCCUGUAAUCCCAGCACUUUGGGAGGCCGAGGCGGGCAGAUCACGAGGUCAGGAGAUCGAGAUCAUCCCGGCUAACACAGUGAAACACCAUCUCUACUAAAAAUACAAAAAAUGAGCCAGGCGUAGUGGUGGACGCCUGUAGUCCCAGCUACUCGGGAGGCUGAGGCAGGAGAAUGGCGUGAACCCGGGAGGCAGAGCUUGCAGUGAGCCGAGAUUGCACCACUGCACUCCGGCCUGGGCAAAAAAGCAAGACUCUGUCUCAAAAAAAAAAAAUUUUUUUUAAAUGAGCUCUUACCUAGCCUUCAAGGAUCAGCUCUGUCAGUUUCUCUGUGAAGCAUUCUGACUUUCCCCCACCCCAAAAUGAUGUAUGUGUUCUUCUAGGGCUAUGCAUCCAGCCAUUGUUUCAACUAAUAUUUAUUCCACGUGUACUGUGUAUCUGUAUAUAAGAGGCAGUAUAGCAGAGAAGUUAAGAUGAGGAGCUCUCAAGCCAGACUCCCUUGGUGUGAAUCUUGACCACUUACUAACUAUAGCCUUGAGCAAGUUAUUUGACCUGUCUGCCCAGGGUUUUGCUCACUUAUAAGACAGGGAUUAUAACCAUUAUCUAUCUCAUAGCGUUGUCAUGAAGAUUAACUGUCAUGAAUAUUAUCCACAGAAAGCAUUGGAUGAACGUUAAUUGUUGUCAUUAUUCAACAUGAAAGUAAGCUCCAGGUGGGAAGGGAGAUUUUGCUCCCUCAUACAGACAGACCCAAGGACCUAGAUAAGUGCAUGGUAUGUAGUAUGUGCUUUAAACACAUGUCUAAUGCAUGAAUCAAUGAAUGAAUCAACCUAUGAAUUGGCUAGGCACUCUCCUAAUCUCAGCGUAAGUAGCCUUGAAUAAGAUAUACAGAAACAAGGAAACAUUUUCACACAAUGUGUACAUGCUGUGAAGGGUGUACAUCAGAGAAAUAGGAUAGAGACUCCAGAUGAAUAAGCAGUAUUAAGUGAGAUGAGUGGAGCCAUGCUAAGAACGCUUGGGAGGAUUUCAGCAAAGGGAACAGCAAGGCCUUGGGCCCUGAGUGGAGAACAAGUUGGCUACUAUAGACCUUCCCCAACUGCUGCAAAAGGACUCUUUGAAUGUCUGUCUUCCCCACUAGACUGUAACCAUUGUAAAAGAGGGAUUUCAUCUUAUAACUCCUUAUAAACACAGUGUCUGGCUAAUAGUUGGGCAUAUCAUAAAUAUUUGUUGAUUAACAAAGGAAUCCUCUUAAGAAAGCACCUUCCUGUUUGGAAAUGCAGGAAAGCCCCUCUCCCGCCUGUCUGCUCUCUUUCCUCCUGGCAUCUUCUGCCUUCCUAAAGUCUAGGCCAGGAAAUUCAUCUGACAUUGAUUUGCCUUCCUUUCUGUCAUCAGCAGUCCUGAACUCUAACAUUGGAUGGUAACUUUUCCCCCCAAAUCCCAACAUUUCCAUGUCCCCUUGCCGAGUAAAAUUAGGUCCAGAGCUAUAGAAACUGUUCUGUAAGUGGAAAAUGCUUCAGUAUAGAUUUUGAUUUUCAGGAACUCAUUUUAUUUGGUGAGUUUUAAACCUCCAUUCUUUGAGAAGCUCAUUUUAGAUUCAUUAGACUCAUUUUUUAUGUUGAUAAUAUAUCAUUUAAAUGCCCAUGUUCUACUAUCCUUCAGUAAAUUUAUGAACUUCAUUGAAAGUUGAAACAAAGGCGUUUCAAAUUAAAUGAAGUCGUUAAUUGCCUGGUUUAUCUUGGGGGAGUGCAAGUCAGUGUAAUACUUCGCUAAACUAACACAGUAGUACCAUGAGGACUGUCAGAGAGCCAGAGGAGGGGACCCAGGUUUGUGGAGGAAAAGCCAAGAAUCACUUAGUGGAAGAAUGAUGUCCUGGCUGAGACAGGGAUAAGAAGGAAUUGGCUGGAGAAGAGCUAGCAUAGAGGCUGUGGUAGAGUUAGAAGGGAGAUGAGAAGAAAACACUGUAUAUAUACAAUAGAAUACUAUUCAGCCUUUAAAAAGAAGGAAAUUUUGUCAUUGCCACAACAUGAGAGGACCUGGAAGGCAUUAUAUUAAGUGAAAAAAAGCCAAGCACAGAACGACAAAUGCUAUGUGAUCUCACUUAUAUGUGGAAUCUAAAAAAAGUCAAACUCAUAGAAGCAGAAAAUAGAACAGCAGUUACCAGAGAUGGGGUUGGGAGGAGGGGACAGGAUUGGCAAGAUGUUGGUCAAAGGGCACACAAGUUUUGUUAGAGAGGAGACAUAAGCUCAAGAGAUCUAUUGUCCCUCAUGGUGACUAUAAUUAAUAACAAUAUAUUAUAUACCUGAAAAUUGCCAGCCUGGGCAACAUAGUGAGACCUCAUCUCUAUAAAAAAAUCAAAAAAUUAGCUGGGUGUGGUGGCGCACACCUGUAGUCCCAGCUACUUGGGAGGCUGAGGCGGGAGGAUUACUUGAGCCCAGGAGGUAAAAUCUGCAGUGAGCCAUGAUCAUACCACUGCACUCCAGCCUGGGUAACAGAGCAAGACCCUGCCUCAAAAAAAAAAAAAAAGAAAAGAAAAAUUCUAAGAUCAUAGACUUUAAGUGUUGUUACCACACAAACCAAAAAAGUGUAUGAGGUAAUGCAUAUGUUAAAUAGCCUGAUUUAGCCAUUCCAAAAUGUCUACGUGCAUCAGAACAUCAUGUUGUAUACCAUAUAUAUACAAUUUUCAGUUAUCAGUUAAAACAAUUUUUUAAGAGAAAGGAGAUAACCAGAGCAUAGCCAGCAGAAGGACUCACAUGAGGUUUGGUGGGACUGCCUAGGGAGAAGGAGGCAGCUGGCCACGUGACAGAGCCCAGUGAUAGGGGAGGGCCUGUGACCCCUUAAGGAGCUGAGACGCUGUCAUAGAGCAGUGGGAGCACUGAGUGAUGAAGCUGGAUUUGUGCUUUUAGAAAAGCUUUGUUGGCUGCUGUUGGGAGAAUGGAUUGGAAGGCGGUGAGACUGCAGUCAGAGACUCCCAUAAGGAAGCUGUUACUGUAAUCACAACAACAGAUGCCUACACUCCUUCCCAAGACUUCCCUCUCUGAUCUUAGAAGCAUUGUCAAAUCCAGGUUCCCAGCCUGCCAUGGCAAGCUGCUUGCUACUUGGGAGUGAAAAGUCCUUGUGGAGCUUUUUCCUAUUCAGUGACUGCUCAUAAAGUGCCCUCACCUCGCUUGCCUUAUUAGCCAGUCCUGCCUCCAAAUUACCACCACUUGCUCCUUUCAGGAGUCUCUCCCCACUAAAGUCCCUAUUACUCUUUCUCUCUGCUUUCAGAUCAGAAACAGAAAAAGUCACCUUCCCUAAGAGUCUGCUCCAGUCCAAUAGAAAUGCUUUAAAAUUUUUCUGGCCUCAGCUGCCCUUCUUGAGCACAGAAAUUUCUAGAAUAUUGAGUGAAUCACUGGUUCUUUAUUAUCAUUUUGUCCAGUUUCAAUCACUGCAUUUUAGGAAAGAUUUGAAAAACUGAAGGACAAAGUGGGGCCUUAGAGGACUUAGGAUUCUUUCAGAGAAAAGUAAUCUAAAGAACAAGUUAAUGUUUCUUCAUCGUUUGGGAAUUAGUUAUUAAAUGGAAGGUGCCUGACAAAUUAUUCUCUUAAUACAGUUCUUCAGGAGGACAGCAUUAAAAGGCCUGGAAUUAAAUAGCCACAAGGCACGUUUAGAUGACACAUCAGGAAGAACUUUCCAGUAAAAACUAUUGAAUAGGGUACCGUGUUCAGGCAGAAGUCAGGAGACUCUCUUUAGGAGAGCUGAGAAAUAACUUGAGGGGGAGGGGCCACAUCUGGGGGAGGAUUUUAUAAUUUUUAAAUCUCUUAAACUAUACAGCUUUGAGAUGGAAUGAUUAAGCUGAGCAGGCAUUUGUUAACAUCCUGAAAUAUGAUUUCCAUCCUGUCCCUAGAGCCUGCCCUCGGGGUCCACUGUAGACUGGCCUUCUAGAAGAAACCGCCUUAUAAGGCUCUCUUGGAUAGUUUAGUGACAGAACACCCUUGGAUGGAGUCCAAGGCCAGCUAGCCUUCACUGAUUCAAAAUUCCUCCCCACAGUGGAUGAGAUUAUGAUGCUUCCUUUACCUCAAGCCACCCCUACCCCACAAACAGUCUGACCUCAUCUGUGUUUUUCAUUGUUAGACAAAUAACAUCUUGUUUUUAGCAGCUGGGAACCCUGAAUUAUCGUCAAAAGAAUUUUUAAGCCAGGGAAUGAGUGUAACCUUUUUUUGAAAUUUAGGAGUGGCACAAUUAGAAAGCUUUGAAACGGAAGGAAACAGGUAUAUGUGAAUUAAUAAGCCCGCUUAUUUAAGGUAAUUUCAAAGAUUUCCCAGUGAGUCUUUUACUCUUAUGUGGGGGUAGCAGUGGAAGACUAGAAAUGUCCAAGGGAAGCUUCCCCCAGCCUGUCAUAUAUGGCUUUUCCAGGUCAAUCAAGACCGUCUCCUCCACCAGGCCUCUGAGAGAAAAUGAGAUCAAAAGAAAAAAGCCAGGAUGAUAAUGGGGGAGUGGGGAAAACGUUUACUUAUUUAUUUUUUUUACUUAAAAUUGAUUGUGUUAAAUAGUUGACCUCUGUUUUAUCCGAAGUUGGAUUAAUGGCAAAAUGAUAUGGCCCUUUUGAAAAAGCUAAUGUGUUGAAUUGCCUUUACUGUUUUACAGAGGAGAGCAGUCAAGGUUAAUUAGAAACAGCUGGAGCUAACAAUAAGCCUCACCCCCAUCAAUGUACCUACCAGGAGAGGGUUACCAGGGAGAGGAGCAGUCCCGGGAAUCCAGGGAGGGGCCUCUGGUCCCAAGAGCAGGCCAGAGUUGCAGAGAAGUUUUGUGUCUGAAAAAUAAGAAAGGUUCAUUUCAGGUGAAACAGACCUAGGAACCCUGUGUUGAUAAAGCCCCAUUCAUAUGGUAUGAAGUUCCCACAGUAAAGAGCACUGACAAGGCCAAGGCCAACCCGACAGGUUCAAAGCAGGCUUGGCCACUGUGAAAAAACAACCCCCUCAAAACUUCAGGAGAAUGUAUAUAAUAAAUGAAGGUACAAUUUCAUACCUUCACAGGAUUAUUGAGAAGGUCAAAUUAUGUAACAGAUAUGAAAGCACUGUGUAAACUAUGCGGACUCUGCGGCACCAAUUAACUGUAAAGAAUUAUUAACUAGACUGUAAAUGCCUUGAGGGCAAGGAAUGCAUCUGCAAUGGGUAUUUGUGAAGUACUUGACAGUUUGCUAAGGGCUUCUGUGGAUUUUCCUCAUAUGCUACUCACAACAACCCUGGAAGGUAAGGGGAAUUAUUAUCCCAAAUUCCAAAUAAAGACACUGCAGGUCAGACAUCACAUAGGUGGUAAAUAGCAAUUCUGGUACUUACUUUAGGUAUUCUCCUACAGGCUUGCUAUUCAAAGUGUGGUACGUAGACCAGCAGCAUUGACUCUCUGUGCUACCUUUCUUUUUUAUAAACUCGGAAUUAUUUCAAAAUAAGAAGUUUCUAACAAAAGAGAUUCAGAAGAGUCAAACCCUUGGGUGUGAAAAAGUUUUAGGAAGACUUUCCUGAAUUUAUUUUGCCUAUAUUUUGUUUUUGAUGAGUGAGCAAGGGGGAUAUAUGAUAUAUUUGUGUCUAAACAGAUCUAAAAGAGCUCUUUAAUUAGCAUAAAAUAAACAUUCUGUAUGAUAACAAAGUUUAUUUCAGAGUUGAGAUGGCUCUUUAUGGUACAUAUGCUGUGCCUUCUAAAAAAUGUCAUAUUAUAGUCAGUGAAAGAUGAUGUUUCUUAGAAGGAAUGAAUGAGGUGGCUAACAUUAGUCCUUCUACAGCCAUAUUAGCAAUCUUAGAGCCUGGUCAGGCACAGUGGCUUUUGUUUGUAAUCCCAGUACUUUGGGAGGCCAAGGUGGGAGGAUCUCUUAAGCUCAGGAGUUCAAGACCAGCCUGGGCAACAUAGUGAGAUCUCAUCUCUACUAAAAACAAAAAUAAAAUUGUUAAUUGGCCAGGCACGGUGGGAAGCACCUGUAGUCCCAGCUACUCAGGAGGCUAAAGUGAGAGGGUCGCUCUAGCACAGUCAUCAAGGCUGCAGGAAGCUAUGAUGGUGCCACUGCACUCCAGCCUAGAUGACAAGGUGAGACCCUGUCUCAAAAAAAAAAAAAAGAAAAGAAAAGAAAAAGAAAUAAGAAACAUAGAGCCUGGCAGGGCACGGUGGCUCAUGCCGAUAAUCCCAGUGCUUUGAGAGGCUGAUGCAGAGGAUCCCUUGAGACUGGGAGUUCAAGACCAACCCUGGCAACAUAGUGUGAGACCCUAUCUCUACCAAAAAAAGAAUUACAAAAUUAGCUAGGCUUGGUGGUGUGCCUGUAGUCCUAGCUACUUGGAAGGCUGAGGUGUGAGGAUCACUUUCAGCCCAGGAGGUCAAGGCUGCAGUCAGCUAUGAUUGUGCCACUGAACUCCAGCCUGGACGACAGAAGGAGACCCUGUCUCAAAAAAUAGAAAAACCUUAGAGCCCAACCCUUCAGUUGCAAUCCAGAGGCUCUUGAAGGAUCAGCGAGUGUGCUAGGGCUGCUGGCAUGAAUAUUAGUCCAAGAAAGACCUCUUGGAGCAUAAUGUUUGCAUGUGCUGUUUGAUCAUUUUCCAGGCCUUUCUUGUAACUCUGAGUAGGCUAGAGGAAAAGAAUCACUAAGGUAACUGUCAACAAGCUCAAGUAUUUGCUUUCACCUGAGGUUUGACCCUGACUGUUGACCUUAACCCCUGACUCCAGCACUGUCCCACCAUCAAUUUUCCCAGUUUGAGUAAUAAUAUUUAGUCCACAUCUAAGCUAUGGUCUAAGGAAUUUGCAUUUUUUUUAAUUGAAGCAUAUUUUUUGUCAGCUAGGUGACAACUUGCAGAAGGAAAAUUCAUGCAGGGGUUUGAGAACUCGAUUAAGCAUAAUCCAUUUAGACUUUUUGAAGGAGAAGAAAAAAAGAGGGCUUUCAUAUUCUUACAGGCAGAAAGGCAGCUGACUCCAAUCAUCCUGUUCUUUCAUGUUUUUCUUGAAGGGAAGUCUCCAGCUUCUACAGAGGUUUGUCUUUUUCUCUGAGUGAGAAAUGCUCAAAGGCAUUUUCAUUUACAUCACCACAGAUUAGUGUGCAAGUGGUCAAGUGGUUGAAUUGGGAAAGCUUUAGAUCUGACAUCUGUUCUGCUCUCUUCUGGCCUGACCCCAAGCAAGGAAGAAAAAUUUAUCAAGAAAUAGAUCUCCUGGAACAUUCAGAAGGUUUUGAAAGAGACCACACAGAAAUGAGGCUUCAAGAAUUUUUUAGGGUAGCCCAAGCCUGCAGGAUUCAGAGCCUGCUCCUUCUCCAUGGGAGCUUGCAGAAAUUUCUGCUCCAGGAACAGAACUCCAAAAGUGAAUUUCAAUAGCAGAUGCAGCAAUUACACUGCACCCCUGGCUUCCAAAGGACCCCCCUCAGGAAGCCAUAGAGCGUUUGAUGGAGAAUGAAAUGCUUGUGCAGCAGAGCUCUCUGAGUGAGAGAAGGGGAGAUGAGAGUCCCAUGCAGUGUGGCUGCUUAGUAGAAAUGCUCAGCUCAGUGGGAAAGGGCAGGCUGGGGCAGAGAUCAAGACGCCGCCAGGUAUUUGACAGGCCAGGGCUUCGGAGCCAGAGGCCCCUCUCUGCUCUGUUGUGUCUCAGAUCAGAGCCUCAGAGCAGGAUGGAAAAGUUGAUCUGACUUGGCUCUUUCUGCACUGCUGGGCCUUUGGUUCACUAGAAAAUAACUGGCAGGGCAGGGCAGGCCUGUUCUGGACCCAGUUGCAAUGUGGCAAAGUGAGCAGCUCGUGCCCUUUUCCCACUUCCCCAUGUCCUCUCAUCUGAGGCCUCUUUCUUUUCAGCCGUUCAGCCUGGCCUGUUACUGCAUGCUGCCCCUUUUUCUUGUCUGACUGAACUCAAAGAAGUGGAAUUUUCUUUUCUCCACUCACCAACCCUUUCUUAGUUAUAGAGCCUGGCCAGUAACUUUAUAAAUGGUGAGUCCUGCUCAGUCCACUCCUCCUAACUCCAUCCCCAGACUUAUGAGCCACCUGACGUUCCCCCAAGAGAGAGCGAAUAAGCAAAAACUUGGCAUGCCACCUCUGAAAGGCAGCCAGCUCAGUCCAUGUCAUCUAGGAGAGAUGGUCAGCCCUCUUGUUCUUGACACUCCAUUGGGAUGAAGUUUUUCACAUGUCUUAGGAUCAUAAUCCACCCCAUAUAUCAGCCCCAAGCCUAUCUCCCUUUUUAGGACAAGCCCAAGGGGUAGGAGAGAUAGCUAUAACCCCAUGGUGUGACUGUGGGUUUGACAGGUCUCCAAUGCUCACCCCAGGGCUGUCCCUACCAGUUACUUUCAACUCUUAGUGCCGGGUCACCCAGAAGCCAAGAUUGGCUGGUAUACGAGAGGAAAUAGAGUAGUUAAGGAGAUGAACUUUGGAGUCAGACCACCUGGGUCAAAUCCCCACUCUGCCACUUAACUAUUUGUGUGACCCUAACCUCCUUCAUUCAUGAUUUUUUUUUACCUGCAAGACAAGUAUAAUAACAAUGUUAUUAUACUUCGAGUUUUGGGAAGUUAAGUGAGGCAAUACGUGAAAAACAUUGGUACCUGGUAUGUAGUAGGAUUUCACUAAAUGCUGUUUCGUUUCCAUGUUUAUUGUUAUUAGCAUUAUACAACUGAGUAUGAAUUAAUAUAUUAGUGCCUUGCUGAUGUCCUACUUUGACCAGUCCAAACACAAUACUGCCUCAUGUGCUCCCAGGUUAGAUCUGAAACCUAUGUUCAGACCUGCAUAAACAAAAUAACAGGGUAGUUUUCUUAAAAAGAAAAUUCGUGGGAACGUCCAUCUUGCUCUGCAGAGAUUCUAGAACAGGGAGUUCUGCCCAUCUCUUGAAAGAUCCCAGAGUCCAAAUGCGGACAGUCUAAUGGGAACCACGCAGAAUGCUGGCCAGAGGACAUGCUUUGCUUUGCAGCAUAGAAUAUUUCCAUCUUCAAGCUCAUUGUCACUCACAUUAUUUUUAAUAGCACCUUUUAGAUAUAGAAUCAUUUUGGAUUCAGAGGUCACUGACAUUUAGUAAUCAUUGGACUCUCUCCUCUCUGGAUAUUCUACCAGUAUUUUAUACAUAGGAAAUAUUCAAUAAUUUUUGUUGGAUGGUUCAUGGGGGAAAAAAUCGAAGUACUGGCCCCAAAGAGGAUGUGAACCAAAAUCACAGAGUUUGGCAGAAAAAGAGCACAAUUAGUGCCCAUUAGGUACAAAUUGAGUAUUAUCUUUGGCUUUUAGAGUCUUAUUGGUGGAAAUAAUAAAGUUCUUGCUGCAAUUCAUGUGUCUCUUCUUUGGCUUAUACAUGUAGCCUCAGCUUAGCAGGAACUCAUUUUUAAAAAAUCAUUUAAAAAUCAAAACAUUCAACUAUAAACAGAUGUAUUUCGACUCAGAAAGUGCCCACUUAGGUUGGUUCAUUGCAUCUGUCUGAGAGGUGAUAAUGUCCACCUUCCAGUGUGGGUUGACAAGUAAAGAAAUGAAGGUAUGAAGAAGAGGUUUAAGAAGCUGGAUAACUUUUCAGAUCCACCAGCGCCAGCAAUUUUGAGUGAAAUUGGCAGAACAUUGGGCCUACUGACUCACCAUACACUAUGCACUCUAUCGCCUUCUAAAGCAGUGGUUCUUCACCUUGGCUGUACAUCAGAAUCACCUGGGGAGCUUUACAGAAUGCUGAUGCCUGAAUUCCACUCCAAGAUUCUCAUUUAAUUGGUUUGGAUGUGACCUGGGCAGCAGGACUUUUUAAAACUUUCCAGAUGACUUAAUGUCCAGCCCCAGUUCAGAACUAUUGUUCUAAAAAGACUUCAAGUCACUUUUUGGGAUGCUUCAUUCCCUUGGGAUAAUCAUAAUAAUAAUAGGCCAGUUUUCGCUCAGUUUAUCCAGCAUCUAGUGUUUUGCAACAGGGGACUUUUGAGAAGAUCUAGUGUGCCAUGGGAAGUGUAAGUCCUAGAAAACAUGAUCACCCAAUAUAGUGCAGGCAGCAUAAAUGGUUUGGCUACUUCUUAUCUUUUUAGCUAUUUCAGAGCUCUUAUUUGAAUCAGACAGAACGGAAAUAUGUCAGUUUUGUUGGUAUUUUAAAAAUGGUAUCCCAAAACACUCAGAAAAGUAUUCACCUAAAGUAUUCACAUGAUCCAAUCUUUCUAUUAUUUCACUAGAACAUACGUUCCAUGAGCCCAGUGCUUUUUAUCUAUUUGUUCACUACUGAAUCUCCAAUCAGUACUGAAUCUCCAGUGUCUAAACCGUCCUUGGGAUAUGGUAGGCACUCAAUAGAUUCCUGUUGCAUAAAUGAAUGCCUAAUUAAGAGUGGAUUUAUUAUGAGCCCUGUUGGAAAGGGGAACCUUCACACUGAUGGAAGCCCACCUCUGUCAUCUAUCUGGAAUCUCUGAUAGGGAGAGGCAGCUCUGCUCAGCUUAUUGGUCCCUCAGCUUAGAGGAGUAUCUCUUGUCACUUGACUGAGGCCUUUCCGAUGGGCAUCUUCUCAAAUUAUCCCUUAUAGUUACUGUCUAUUGUCACAAAAUCUCUGAGACUGACAGCAGUGUUCCAUUCCAUUUUAUCAUCUCUCCUCUAAUCAUUUCCCAGGCAAUGGGUAUGGGGAUUGUGCAGCCUUGAGAAAUGUACUUAACCUCUCUGAGCAUCAGUUUUCUCAUCUGUAAAGCGAAGAUACUACCGACCUCACAAGGCGGUUGUGAGAGUUACAUGACUUAAUGUAUUUUAAGUGCUUAGCACAGUGUUUGACCCACAAUUGGCCUUUAAUAAAGGUUAAUCUUAGUCUACCUUGCCCUUCAGUUAAACAGUAGCAGAGGAAGGCAUAAGUACAAUACAUUCUCAUUAUUCACUGAAGUUUUGUUCUAGUAAGUCACCACAAGCACUGAAUUAGCAAAUGCUGAACCACUGCUCCUAGGAGCAAUUCAGUUAGGUUCCUGCAAGCCUCCAAUCACAUUUUUGUCAACUGAUCAAUACAUAAUUUUGUUUUAUGUGUGAUUCUGUUUAAAGACAUGUUAUGUAAUAUAAAUUACGAUUCAUUAACACUGAACUCGUGGCCAACAGCAAGCACUGCAGCUCAAGCCAGAAUGAAGCUUAUCUAACACACGUGUUUUCCAUAAGGCAUAUCACAGCCUGCUUACUCUUAAGGAACGACUAGACAGCACUUCAGCACAAAGUUUGGGGCCAUUUUAGACAGCUGAGUCACCAUCAGAAAGCAUAAAAAUACAAAAGGAAGUGGCACCGCACAGACUGUAAGAGGGGUGCUUGUUGAUAGUGUGACAGCUGGAACUAGAAGCCAGAGUGGUGCCUUGUUCCUCCUCAGUGGGGACCCUGUGCAUCCAGUGACUCAAAUGUUUGCUGCUCUGUGCAUGUCUGCAAAUGAUUUGAUUUGGGGGAGGCAAUUACAUUUUAGCAAGUAGGUGAAUUUGCAAAUAUGGCAUCCACAAAUAAUGAGGAUUGACCAUAUUUGGAAAUGUUCAAGGGUUCAGCAACAAGCAUUAGAGAACUACCAAGGAUUCCGAGGGCAGAACCCAAAUGUGGGUGACGCUUCCUUUAUAUGCCUCAAAGCAUAUAACGUCAUUCGGGGCACAGAGCAGGUAUUUAGGAAAUAAUUCUUGGAUGACUCUUGAUGCAAUUUAACAAACACGUAAACUAGCCUUGUUUUGACUAUCCCAUGAUGAGCCUGUUUUUGCCCUGCACCCUCCUACAAGAUGUUAGUGAGAAGUGUAGAGUUCAUUAAGUUUUCAUAGGAGUGGCAGGAAGGUUUUGUGGGAGGCUUCUCCUCCCAUUUCUCUGCACAGCCUUCCCACCAGCUACAGAGCAUCCCACGUGGCCCUUACUUCACAUGGAGCCACCCUCAAAGGCACUGUCCUGUCCACACCUUCCCCACAACCAUGCCUGUCAUCUCUCUCCCAGUUUCCACUUGGCAAGUAGGCUCUGUCCCUGGCUCUGUGGAGUGCACCCAUCUUUUAACUCAGGACACAAGGUUACUUGGAUCCUCACUAUCAUUGAAAGUGGAAAAUUAUAAUAAUUCCGUCACUCACAUCCACUGCCUGCUUUUUGUAAAUGAUGUGCUGGGUGCCAGAUGGAAAUUUGCCCCAGGAGAAAGACUGCCCCUGCUCUAAGGAGCUUAGAAACCUGAAGUCCAUCCUGGUGGAAGAAAGAAGAGGGAGUUAGUCUCAAAAUAAGAGAGUCCCUGUGUAAGCCAAGCCAAUAAAAUGCACAGGAACAAAGAAUGCACACACACACCCCUCAACCCUUCAUUUUUAAUUAUUGGAAGCAUAUUUUCUGGGCAAUUUCUACUGGAAGGGGAAAAAAUGAACAAAGGUACAUUUACAUCUGUGGCCUGUGAAUACAUUAUAAUUUGCAGACUCUAUGAGCUUAUACAUAAUGUAACUAUGGCUAGAGGUGUGGAAGUACAUAAAUGAAUUAGUUAUUACUUUGCCCAAAGUGACAUUCUAGAGUGGAGAUGAGUGAAUCUUAUGUUUGUUCAGACUUGAGCUAAGGAAAGAAUAUUGAUCCAAAAGAAUCUUAAAGAUUAUAUUUAAAUACCUUAGUAAAUGCUAAGGAAAAAAUAUGUGGUAAAUUCACUUCAUUCUAUCUAGUUCCCUGGCAAAUGUGUAAAAAAAAAUUUUAAUAGGUGCAAUGACCUAUUGAGAUGAUGAGAAUACUGUUUGGCAGUUAGUCUCUAACAGUUGUCAGAAGUUUCACUUUUUGGACAAACCACAGUGGAUUUUAAAUUCUUUUUUUUUUUUUUUUUUUUUUUUUGAGACAGAUUCUUGCUCUGUUGCCCAGGCUGGAGUGCAGAGGUGUGAUCUCCGCUCACUGCAAUCUCUACCUCCCAGGUUCAAGCGAUUCUCCCACCUCAGCCUCCUGAGUACCUGGGACUACAGGUGCCUACCACCACACCCAGCUAAUUUUGUAUUUUUGCUAGAGAUAGGGCUUCACCAUGUUGGCCAGGCUGAUUUCAAACUCCUGACCUCAAGUGAUCCGCCCGCCUCGGUCUCCCAAAGUGCUGGGAUUAUAGGCGUGAGCCACUGCGCCCAGCCUGGAUUUUAAAUUCUAGACUUACAUAUCCUUGUUAAUUAAACUUUAGCUGCUGUGCAGCUUCAGUGUGUCCUGGGAAUGUAAGCUAAUUUCAUUUUAUUUUCACUAAAGAUCUUUUUUGUUAUUAAAAACUAACAGUGGAAAUUUGUAGAAUUCAUUGAAAUCAAAGACAGUCAUUGUUAAUAUUUUUAUUGUAUUCCAUUCUAGUUUUUUUCUAGGCUCGUAUGACAUUAUUUUGAUCAUACUAACCAUAUAUAUUUAUAUCUUGUUUUUCGUUUAGCAAGUAGGUGAAUUUGCAAAUGUGGAGUCCAUAUAUUUGCAAAUUUUAAAUUUGUAACUAAUAUUUUCCAUGUACUUAAUUAUUUUAUAAAUUUUAUUUAUAAAUCUAUAUUUGUAAUAAUUUGAAUGAACCAUAAUUUACUCCAGUUUUUCUGUCAUAAAUAAUCUUUUAAUUCACAUCUUUAGACACAAAGAUCUUUCUUCUGAGUUAUUUCUUUAUAAUAGAUCCCAAAUUGGAAUUACCAAAUGAUAUGGAGAUCUAUAUAUAUAUAUAAAUUUUUAUAUAUUGACAUUAGUGAUUCCAGCUUAAUAGCCUCUUCUAAACAAUUCAGACACAUUAUCUCCUAAAAACAAAAGACCAAAAGCAAAACAUUUCAAUAAUACAAUAGAAAUUACUUGUUAAUUAUCAUUAGAUUUGUAUUGUGACUGCGCAUCUUCAAUGGCAUAGAGACCAUUGAGAGUUGUACCUGCAUCCUAGUUUCUAUUUAUAAAAUUUGCAGUUACUAGCCAUAAAACCAGGGACCCUGCCUGUUACCUAGUUUGCAUCUAAUAUUACCAGGAACCAUGGUUUCUAUCUCAGAUCAUGAAGAGUUAUUCCAGCAAGAACUGAAAGAGAAGAUAUGUGUACUAUAAUAGUUUUCUUUUUUUAAGUUCAAUUUGAUCAAUCAAAGAUUUCAAAAUAACAGGGAGAAGGAAAGAAUAUUCCUUUGUACAUAAUUGAAUUGAGGUUCAUAAAAAGCACCCACAAUCCUACUAGAGCAGCUUGAAAAUGUUUGUUGUAAGGGCAGCCACCCGUCUGAGAUGUAAACGGGAAAAACUUUGUGAAAUUUGGAGGUUUUGUCUUUAAGAUUUUUUUCACAGAAGAAAAAAAUGGUCACUACUAUUCUAUUUGACUACAGUCAAUGGCAUACCUCCAAGUUGAAUCUCAGCAGCUCUUUACAUGCAGCUUCCCUGCAUAAUACUGAGACCAUGAUUUGACCACUUGUUUCACCUCAGUUUCUGAUAUGUGCUGUUAUUCUCCUCCUCUUAGGGACAGACUGUUUCCUGCUCCACUUAUUAAAACUAGAAAAAAAUUUACUUACAACAUUUUUACCACACGUGUCCUUGGAGCUCUCCUUGGGUCCUUAAGGGGGCUGGCAAAACCUUGUUUCUCUUUUUCUCAAGCCCUUUAAUCUCCAUCACAUUCAGCAACAAUUGUCCUUUGUAAGGCAGGUAUUCCUGUUAAUACAGUAAACAGUGCUGAGAAUACAUGUAUAAAAUGGAGAAGCUGCGUGUGAUUUUCAGGCAGAAUUAUUCCUGUAUUUGACUGGGAAAUAGGAAUAAUAACAGCACGGUGCAUUUUCUAAGAAUUUUCACGUAUGUUCAUAUGCAUAUCACCUUUUUUUAAUCCUUACAGUAACCCUGUGGUAAAGUAUUAUCCUCACGUUGUAUCAAUAAAUUAGGCAACCAAGAUUCAGUGUGUUUGAGUGUCUAAGCAGAGCUGCUGCUAAUGGGAAUUGAAUGAAGCUGGAACGAGGAAUCCAGGUGAGUUGGUGUGUACACGGACACACACACGUACCCACAUUUCAAUCCAAAGGAAGCUAAAAUUGAGUGUCAGAAGCAGUUAAACAUACAUAUGCUUCACUCACUCAUUCAUUCAUUCAUGGUUCUUCCAUUCCUAAUCUUGUAUCUCCUACAUUAAAUUCCCUGUGUAGUUAAUACUCUGCAUUUCCACAAUCUCCAGAUACUCUGGUCAUUACCAGUAUGUGGAAGUGCAUAUGCUUUUGCUUGUUUUGUUAAACCGUGUGUGUGUUUUUGAAGAAACACAUCCAGAGACUCUAAGGCUGUUGUUUUGGUAAAUUAAAGCAACUUAAAUUCCAGGUGUUGGCAGUGGCAGUUGUCUAACAUAGCAUGAUAAAAUUAUCCCCCAGGUUCCUAUAUGCGUGGUUAAUUACAGGUGAUCCAACUCCCAAAGAAUACACAUGGCCUGGAUCUCUGAGCUCUGCUGAAUAAAAUAACCAAUGUAUAAUUUCAUUUUCCGUGAAAAAUGUUAACUAAACUAGAAAAGGUAAUCAAAUACCUGUUGCUCUCACAUGUUUUGUUUUGUUUUUUUGAGAUGGAGUCUUGCUGCGUCACCCAGGCUGGAGUGUGCAGUGGCGCAAUCUCAGCUCACUGCAACCUCUGCCUCCCGAGUUCAAGCAAUUGUCCCACCUCAGCCUCCCAAGUAGCUAGGAUUACAGGUGUGCACCACCACACCUGGCUAUUUUUGUGUGUGUAUGUGUAUUUUUAGUAGUGACGGGGUUUCACCACAUAGGCCAGGCUGGUCUCAAAUUCCUGACUUCAAGUGAUCUGCCCGCCUCAGCCUCCCAAAGUGCUAGGAUUACAAGUGUGAGCCACCAUGCCCUGCCUUCUCACAUGUUUUCUAAAAAUAAAACCUCUAUCACUGAAGAGCAUUAAGAACUUUGUGAGGAACAAAUUAACUGUUCAGUCAGUUUGAAUAAAAUUGAGUGCUCUGGGGAGAUUUUAUUGUUGUUUGUGUGUGUGUUUCAACACUACAGAAUAAGAAUGUGACUGUGAGCCGCUAAGUCCUUAAAAACAAGAGGGUAUAUCAUAAGAACUGGAAAACCUAACUUCAGACACUGACAAGAAAGCAGGAAAUACUACGUUUCUCAUGGUAGCAAGACUCAGGAAAUUCUUACGCAAAUAAAGAGUCAAGGAACAGUUGACAGCAGUUUUCUGAAUCAAUUGUAUAAUUAUGAAAUUUUCAUUCACAAAUACUUUUAGGUACAUAAGUCUGUACCUGAUGUGAAGAUCCUACUCUAUACCAGCUCCCUCAGCAUAUAAGGAGAUGGUGGGAUUUGGGGAAGAAGAAGUGAAGAAUGUUGACCAAAAAGGACAAUAGCUGGUCUGUUGGUAAAGAAUAUGUUCAGCUGCAAGUAAUAGAAAACCUGGCUCUAGUGGCUUGGCCAAAAUGGGGUUUAUUUGCUUGUAGAACAGGGAGUUUAGGUAUAGAUGGUUGCUGGUGUGGGUUUAACCACUCAGCAGUGCUGUCAAGGACCAGGGUCCUUUCACUCUUUCUGCUCUAUCAUCCUUUGCAUAUUGGCUUUUGUCUUCAUGCUUAAUAAUUGCAAGAAGGCUGCUGCACCUCGGAUCAUCAUCAUCAUUAAAGACAUUUAGAAGGAAUAGAGAAAAGGACAAUGCCAGCCACAUGUCACAUUAUAUCAGGUGAGCAAAUGUUUCCCAGAAGCCCAUACUCAGCAAAUUUCUGCCUAAUCUCAUUGGCCAGAAAUGAUCACUGGGCCACCCUAGUGUCAAAAGAGACAGAGAACGGGGUGGUGAACACUGGGGCUGAGUCAGCCGGCUACAUUGUCUGCCAUAGCUGGGCAGCAGUUCUUUUUAGCUUUUCAUUUCAGGCACAGUUGCUGAAGGUGAAUUCAAAGGGUGACUAGAAGCUUAGUGUUUUAGAGAACACAGACCCCAUCAGACUUCACUGAAAUGUGAAAUCACAUGAUAAAAUAGGUCAUAGCUGGGGGGAAAAAUGGAAACCUUUGUAGCAAAUAUGUCAUUCCCAAAGUUCAGUGGAAAGAAGCCCUAUCUGAAAGAUGUCAAACCACAUAGAGUCCAUUUUGAAAGAAAUGACAUUUCACUCUUUCCUUCACAGAAAUAAUGGCUACCAGAAUUGAGGGUUCCUGCCUGAUUUAAUUUAAUAUGUGGAAAGGGAUAAUUUUAAAAUGAACUCAAAAAAGGAAAAAGUUAUAAUUGUGUAUGGAUAGAUGCAGUAAAACUGCUUUAAAAAAGUCUACUUUCAUUUUUAUAAAUUGUAUAAACUUCAGUUCAUCCUCAGAUCUAAGUAUGGUGAAUUUCUAAUUAUUGUAGUGUUUUUAAGCUUAUUUAAGUCAUACAUGUUAUGGAGAUUAAUGUUUUGGACAGUGUGGGGUUCAAAUUCCCACUCCCCCACUUACUAAAUGUGUGAUUAUUAAAUGGCAAGUUGCCUCUCUUUUUUUCUUUUUUUUUUUUUUUUGAGACAGAGUCUCACUCUGUUGCCCAGGCUAGAAUGCAGUGGUGUGAACUCCACUCGCUGCCACCUCUGCCUCCCAGGUUCGAGCACUUCUCCUGCUUCAGCCUCCCAAGUAGCUAGGAUUACAGGUGCCCAACACCACACCCAGCUAAUUUUUGUAUUUUUUUGGUAGAGAUGGGGUUUCAGCAUGUUGGCCAGGCUGGUCUCGAACUCCUGACCUCCGGGUGAUCCGCCUGCCUCAACCUCCCAAAAUGCUGGGAUUACAGACGUGAGCCACCGCGCCCAGCCAGCAAGUUGCUUAACCUCAGUUUUGUCAUCUUUAAAGUGGGGACAAUGUUGCUCACCCAAAGGGUUGGUGAGAGUAUUAACUUCAUAUGAGGUUCUAAGCAUAGUGCUUGCCACACAAUAGGGUCUCAAUCUGGCCAUUGGUUUUAUCAUUAGUAGUAGUGGCUAAUGCUUCAGAAACAGCCCUCAAAUGUCAUACUAUGGUACUUUUACCUUCAUUCUUCCCUCUUUUUCUGGAGGGAUAACUAGAGAUGGGAUGAAGGGUAGAAGCAGAAACUGAGAGUGGUAGGAAUAAUUGGAUGGUAUUAUGUAGAGAAAAUGAGAACUGUUCUUGCCCAAACUGGUCAGAACCUCAAUAUUUUUAUAUACUUACAAUUUAUAGCCUACCUUAUUUUAACAUUAUAUUUGUGGCAGUUUACAUCACCAUGCUUUUCAGAUACAGCAACAGUGCUGUAAAAAGCACUAAACUGCCUGGGCAUGGUGGCUCACACCUCUAAUCCCAACAGUUUGGGAGGCUGAGGCAGGAAGAUCACUUGAGACUAGGAGUUCAAGACCAGUCUGGGCAACAUAGUGAGACCCUGUCUCCACAAAAAAAAAAAAAAAAAAAAAAAAAAUUAGCCAGGUGUGGUAGUGCAUAUCUGUAGUCCCAGCUACUCAGGAGGCUGAGGUAGGAGGAUCACUUGAACCUAGGAAUUUGAGGCUUCAGUGAGCCGUGAUUGUGCCACUGCACUCCAGCCUGGGUGACAAAGCAAAGCCCUGUAUCAAAAUAAACAUAAAUACUAAACUUAGAAGAAAAGAGUCUGAAUCCUCCCGCCUCAGCCUCCCAAAAUGCUGGGAUUACUGGCAUAAGCCACCGCACCUGGCCAAGCAUCUGAAUCCUGACUAUACACUGACUGACAGUGAUAAUGGGCACAUUACUUAAUCUCUUGGUCCCUCUGUUGUCUCACUUGUAAAAUGGAGCAAGCAGGACCUGUAUUAAAGAAUUAGGGUUAGGGUUAUGGAAAUAAACGAAGUCACAGAUUUGAAAGUCUUUGUAACUGUUAGGCCUUUAUGAAUCCAAGAUUGUAUUCCCUCUGACUUUACCAACUAUUGUAGUAACAACUCUCAAAUAUGCCCUGUCAGUUACCUGAUAUAACCUUGUGUAUAGCUGUGUCAGUUAUUUACGUUUUUACCUAUAUACCUCUGGUCCACUCCUCCCCUUCAAAUCACUAUCAGCAAGUAGUGCCCAGGGACUCUUGUGUUAUAACAUUAGCCAGAACCAGUUAGUAAGGAAUCUGUUACAACAAAUUUAUACAGAGCAAAAUAUAAAGUAUUUUAAAAUCGGCAUCGUUUUGAGAUAGUCUGUUCCUCUCCUGCCCUUCAUUAGUUGGGUACUCAAGAGUUGGCAGUGUUUUCCCAUCUAGAAGCUCAUGUUGCAUAUUGACCUGCAAAGGUGUUAGUCCAGGUACCGAUGGCAACUUUUAUGUUAUCCAUCAAUCACUUUAAUGAGUACAAGAAAGCAUCCUAUCACCCUGCCAAAAGACAGAGGAAUUAAGAAUGACUCAUUUAUCACUUAAAUGUGUAAGUGUUUCCUAUGUGUCAGGUGCCAUCCUGGUGCUGUGGGGCACAGACCACAGACUCCAGUUUCCAGGGGGUUACCAUUAAAUGGAGCUGAGGCAGCAACAGUGUGUCGGUCUCCUGUAUUCAAUCUCCUCAUAAUAACUGAGCCACUAGGUCAGGAGCAGUGGCUCAUGCCUGUGGUCCCAGCACUUUGGGAGGCCGAGACAGGUGGAUCACCUGAGGUCAGGAGUUCGAGCCCAGCUUGGGCAACAUGGUGAAACCCAGUCUCUCCUAAAAAUACAAAAAUUAGCUGAGCGGCAUGUGCCUGUAAUCCCAGCUGCUCAGAAGGCUGAGGCAGGAGAAUCGCUUGAACUUGGGAGGCAGAGGUUGCAGUGAGCUGAGAUCGCGCCACUACACUCUAGCCUGGGCAACAAGAGCGAAACUCGGAAUCAAAAAUAAAAACAAAAAAUAAGAUGGUAAAAUUUGUAUGUGUAUUUUACUACAAUUUUUUAAAAUUAGAAAACAAAAACUUAAAUCCUCUAGAUACCAAAAUCCAAGCCCCAUGGACAACAUUUACCAGAAAAAGGUGACAAGCUACCCCCACAAAUGCCAAAAUAUAAGUGGGUUGGAACAAGCCACCUAUGCCACCAAGCCUGCAGGCUGUCAGCAGCUAGGUGGAAAGACGCAGAGGGCAGUAAUGAGGUGAUGACAGAUCCAAUAAUAGGUAAAUCUCAACAUAGCCAACAGGUUUUCAAUGGAAAGUCCAUUAGUGGGUGAGUGCAAGGGACCCAAAGGGUGGAAGGGGCUUGAGCAGCCUGGGUCCCGUGAACUCAAAACCCCCAGCUGGGCAGCUGGGGCUCCUGAUAUGGUUUGGCUGUGUUCCCACCCAAAUCUCACAUUGAAUUGUAACUCCAUAAUCUCCACGUGUCAUGGGAGAGACCUGGUGGAAGGUCGUUGAAUCAUGGAGGCAGGUUUUUCCCAUGCUGUUCUCAUGACAGUGAGUGAGUCUCAUGAGAUCUGAUGGUUUUAUAAAGGGCAGUUCCCCUCUGCAUGCUCUCUUGCCUGACACCAUGUAAGAUGUACCUUUGCUCCUCCUUUGCCUUCCACCAUGAUUGUGAGGCCUCCCAAGCCAUGUGAAACUGUGAGUCCAUUAAACCUCUUUACUUUAUAAAUUACCCAGUCUCGGGUAUGUCUUCACAGCAGUGCGAAAAUGGACUAAUACAGCUCCCUUCCAGGACAGGGCCCUUCACCAAAGAAAAACUACUAGGAAUAGAAUCAAAAUGGAGCAGGACAGAAACAAUAGAGAUGAAUGAAACAAAAGGCCAAAUAAAAGUGAAGGAGGGAAACAAACCCAGAAAAUCACAGAAAGCAAGUUAUUGUUUUUAACACUAAAUGAAAACAACACAAAAUGGAGUUCUGAGGAGUUGCAAAAAGGUAUUUUGGACAAUGUCUCCUUGUAAGGCUGUGGAAAACCAAUUUUACGUUUUAAAAAAGCACAGAGAAGGAUUAAGGCCAAACCCCAUACUAGAAAGAAAUUUUAUAUAAGAAAAGAGUGAGAGAGAAAAAGAGAAUAACAUCCCUACCUACAAUGAAAGCACGUCUGCAAACAGGUGAAAACUAUAACCGACUAUCUGAAUAACAUGAGCUAAAAGACAUUUUUUAAAUAAUACAAAUAAAGAGUAACAACUUAAGCCAAAAUUAGAAUAACUUGAAAAUGUGGUGAAGAUCUCAGUUGUUAUUUCAGAAAUGAAACCAAAAGAAACACAAUAGCAAAUAAGAACAAUAGAGAAUCCCUUAAAAGACUAGAAGGUUAAAAGGAGGAAAAUUAUUAAAUUAAAAAGAAAGGAAGAAUGAUCAAAAGAAGCAACCACUGAAGAUAUGCAGAGCAGAUCUAGCAUGCAGAUAAUAGGAGUCACUGAAGAAGGAAACCGAAGCAAGAAAGCAAGCCAACACUAAAAACUAUAACUCCAAAAAACUUCACUGAAAUACAAGAAAAAUGUAGAACUACAUUUUGGAAGACCAGACAGUAUACCUGAGAAUAUGGAUCUAGAAUGACAAAUACCUAUUGAUAUUCUAGUGAAAACAUUCCUGCACUUUAAAGAAAAAGAAAAAAGGAUCUAGGCCAGGUGCAGUGGCUCAUAUCUGUAAUCCCAGCACUUUGGGAAUCCAAGGUGGGUGGAUUGCUUGAUCCCAGGAGUUCGAGACCAGCCUGGGCAACAUAGUGAGACCCUGUAUCCAUUUUUUAAAAAAAAUUAUCCAGGCAUGAUGUCACACACCUGUAGUUCCAGCUACUUGGGAGGCGGCUGAGGUGGUAGGACAACCUGAGCCCAGGAGUCUGAGGUUGCAGUGAGCUGUGAUCACAUGACUGCAAUCCAGCCUGGGCAACACAGUGAGACCUUGUCCCAAAAAAAAACUUUUUUUAAACAUCUGAGUAAAAAGAUUAAAUGACUUAUAAGGGAAAAGAUUACAUUAUCAUCAGACCAUUUGACAGCCCCUCAUUUUACCACAGAAACUAGAAGCCAUUGAAUAAUAGAGGCAAUUCAGGUUUCCUUGCAAGCCAUUUCAUGGGCAGUGCCUUAUAAGUGGUGGAAACAAGAAUUGCUGCACGUGUUCAGAAGAAGCAGCCAUGACUUUCAUCUAGGAGGGCUUCAUGGGGGAGGUGGAAUGAUUGCAUCUUAAAGAAAUCUUGGAAAAUGUUUAAACUGCUGACAUCAGAAUAAUAUAAUGCAUAAACAUGUGACUUACCCUCAAAAUGUUCAACUCUGUAUAAUGUUGAAUUCAUUGCAUACUAUUUCAUGUCCAUGUUUUUUCUUCAUGAUUUUUAGAAAAGGCACAUCAUUUUUGGCUAAAGCGAUUUUUUUUAAUACUGAAAUUUGAGUAAUUGAUUCUGUUAAUCCAGCAUAUGCUCCUAUUAAAUAAAUUGUAUACAAUUCAGUGACUUCAUUAGAGAUGAUAAGCCACAUACUUAAAUUUUGUGAUACUCCCUGAUAAUCUGCAUUCAUUGAUAAUCGAGACAAAAUUAAUCAUAUAUAAUCAAACAAAAAUGUGAACAACAUUAGCUGUCAGAAAAGCAUUAUCCAGUCUUUAUUUUUUAGUUAAUUUUAGAUAUUUGAACAACACAUAAAAUGAGUGGUAGGGUAUGUUUGUAUUUUACUGUAUAGGACACCUUCAGAUAAAUUCUAAAAAGAAUUUACAUUUCAUGUAAUGCUUUUCACACAGAGUAAUGGCCAAACUUUAGGGUCAGUUUGCCCUGCUUCAUACCACAUGCAGAACAAAUUUAAGAUGGAUUAGGACUCCAAAUAGAAAAGAAAAAUUCUUAAUAAAAAACUGUUCAAGAUGGAUAAAAGGAUUAAUUUCAAGAAAAAUAAAACUAAUAAAAUAGAACUAUUCUGGUAGCCCAGAAACCAUAAGAGAAAGGAUUAACAGAGUAGCUGCAUUAAAAUUUCAAGUUUAUUACUUAUUCAUUCACCCAUUCAUGAGAUAAUUGUUUUUAUUGAGAACAUACUAUGUGCCACACACUAUUCCUGCUGCUGAGGGCACAGCAGUGUACUAAACAGCCAGCAUCACUGCCCUUGUGGCAUGCUGUAUGGCAACCAAAACCAUAAACAAAACGGGAAGACAGUGAAAGCCUGGAGAAGUUAUUUGCAAAAUAUUUGAUAAGCAAAGUAAAUAUCUGUAGUAAACAGGAGCUCAUGUAAGUUGAUCGAUAAAGCAAUAGGAAAAACAGAAAAGUAAUAAAUAGUGAAUUAAAAGAGGAACAACUGCAAGUGGCCGUUAAACAUGUGAAGACUUGCUCAACUUCACAACAAGUCCUGAAAUGCAAUUAGAACAACAAUAACCUACAAUGUUUUCCCGUUCAGCUUGGCCAAAUUUUUUGAAAAUUUCUCACUCCCACUGCUGGGAAAUGUGUGGGGAAAUGGGGACCUUCCUGCACUAUUGCCAAGACCAGAAUUCCUAACAAGCUUUUCAAAAGUAAUCUAGGAGUAUUUAUUAAAAUUAAACACUCUUGUACCCUUUGACCCAGCAAUCUUAUUUCUGGAAACCUCUCCUACAGAAACAAAAGUGCUAACGCAUAGGGACAUAAGAAUUAAGAAUAUUUAUUGUAUCGUAGUUUGUAUAUAGAAGAAUUUGGAACAUCUGGAAUAUUCUUAAAGAAUUAUGCCCAUGUUUGGGGACAUUUUGCAGCUAUUGGAAAGAGUGAAUUUGAUUUAUGUGUAUUGAACUAAUAAGGCUAAUAUGUAAUACAUGGAUUGUUCACUGAAAAAAGGCAGUUUAAGCCAGGCGUGGUGGUGUACACCUGUAGACCCAGCUACUCAGGAAGCUUGAGGCCAGUAGUUCAAGAUAAGCCUAGGCAACAUAGAGAAACCCUGUCUCUUAAAAUAAAACUUAAAAAAAAAAUUUAAAGCAGCUUGCAUGUUAAUAGGUAUGAAAUUUUCAUUAAAAAAUAAAAUAAAAACUAUAUGUAUAAACAGUUUAUAUAGGUUGUUGGGGGUUUAGGAUUAUCAUGAUGUAAAAGUAGACAACUUGCUGCUUCUUUAUGUAUUUGUAUAUUGGAAUUGUUACAGUGAGCAUGCACUUUUGCAUUUUUUAAAUAGCAACAAAAUAUUUUAAAAGAAUACUGAACCACUACAUCACUGAUAUUCCUCAUAACUAAAUUUUGAAGGUUUUUUUCUUUCCUUCUGAUUACCAAAAACUUGAUUCACAUUUAAAACUAUACACUCAUAGAUCUAGAAUGAUUCUGGGGUGAGAUUUCAGUUCAUCAUUAACCUUUCCCUACCCACUUCCCCAUAUCAUCUUAGUCUAAGAGAUUUCAAACAUCCAAAGACGCAGGUCCCAGAAGAGCUCUCUGAGACCACGAUUUGGGACCCACACUGGUCAAAAGAGGAAAAUCACAGAGCAUCCUUUGUAAACUCAGCCUUCUCUCAGGAAAGUCUUUCUUAUUAUAACUGAUAUUCCUUGGGCUGAAACUCACACCUGUUCCUCCACUUCUGAUGUAGAGACAAAGAGGAUUCUUGACCCCAAAGGACCUCCUAGAUCAUUGCUUCAACCUUUCCAUUUUACAGAUGAAAAGACUGAGGACUAAGUAAAAUGUGGGGAGAACUGGUACCAAAACCCAAUUCCCCUACUUGCUAGUCAGUGCAUUUUCUGUUGCUCUAGUAGUACCUUUCUUUCUCACACACCAGCAUCCCCGAGUCGGUUCUACAACAGUGCCUUUCACCCAGUAAGCCAAAGUCUGUUGGAUGCAAACUGUUUACAAAGAAUCCCAAGUAGAAGCUAAGUUAUCAAUGUCAAAGUACCAGGAAGGCAGGGUGAUUCAAUUGCAAACCCAAAGCAGCAGCACUUUGGAGCCAGAAUAGAACUCUGAAUAAUCCUUUAUUUUGUGCUGAGGACCUAGAACUUCCACUUUUCCUUCUCUGGAGCCAGACUUCAUGCUGGGGCUUUGUUUUAAAAUCAAGGCCCCACCGGACUCAGAACUAAGGAAUUUUUUUCACACAUAUUCAAAACGGAAGCCCUGCCACCAUGGAGAAGCUCAAGGUCCUUGCUCAGCUUCUGCUUGUGUUUGGGCUACAUGAAAAUCCCUGGGUGGUGGUUGAUGUUUCCCGCACCAAAUGAUUUCUGCACAAGGCCCAACAUUCCCCCUGCCCUGAUAGAAGGGUCACACCACACACCAAGAAGGAUGUGACUAAUAAAGAAUGUGACUUCAGAGACUUUACAAGUCCAGACAACUUCUGAUAAACAUUUAAACAGAGGUCAGGAAUGUUUUCCUUUCUGAGGGGAAAAUAUGUGGUCUAUGGUGUGAGUGGGAGGGGCUGGUGGGGGGUAAAUCUAAGCAUUAGCUUCCUCCCUUCAUAAUUCUUAAGCGUUUUAACAGCAGUCAUUUUUAAUGCCCUAACAGGCUUUUAUACUUAGAACCCAUAGCUGACUAUUGGCCAGAAAGCUCUGUGAAAAAAAUUGGGCAAUUCCAAAGUGAUUACCAAGCAAGUUUAAAACUAACAUUAGGAUCAUUAGAGGCACUUUCCCUGGGCCCCACCCUGAAGCUAAGAAUGUUCCAGAAAGUAUCAGUCAAGGCCCAUUUUAAGUACCCAGGUUGGGAUCUUUACUUCCCCUGCUGACAAAAGGGGGAAGCUCCAUAGAGGAAAUGGGUGUUGACUUCCAGGAAAGGAAAGGUGAGAAGGACCAGAUGGCAUCUGUCAGCAUCCUCAGCCUACCGGAGAGAUUCUGAGAACAUUGGCCAGGGCCAAGGAGGAGGGAUUGAUGAGCGGAAGCCAACAGAGAUAUCCCCUUGGCAGUGGAAAGGAAAGCUGCAGGUCGUUUUUGUGACCCAACACACUUUCAUUGGUAGUGCUGAUCCAGCUAAUGUCUUUUAGCAUUUUCCUUUUCAUCGGCUCUUUGGUUUGUCUCCUGACAUUUCCUGGAUCUGUGUGCACGGUAGGCACAGGGUGAGUAAGACUAGUAUUCUCUCUGGUCGGUUCUAAAUAAAAAGUAAGAAAAGAAAAUGUCAGCCAGGUGUGGUGGUGCACACCUGUAGUCCCAGCCACUUAGGAGGCUGGAAUGGAAGGAUCACUUGAGCCUAUGAGUUAGAGGCUGCAGUGAGCCAUGGUCGUGCUCCUGCACUCCACCCUGGGUGAAAAGUGAGACCCUGUCUCAAAAAAUAAAAUAAAUUUCACUCAGAAAUCUUCCUGUAAAUGGGAAGAUGGGGGCUCAGUAUUGGAAGACAGGUUCUGAUACCAACUUUAGUAAAACCCUUCAUGUGUCUGCAAUCAAUAUUCUUUUGGAUAUGUCAGCCUCCGUUGUUUCAGCUAUAACCCCUGCAGGCUGGAGCACUCGGGCAAUGUGAGUAGAAUGCAGCAGUGUCAAUUUCCCUCCUUUGUAUCUUAGGCAGGUAGAGAAAUUAUCUCAUUUUAAAGUCCUAAGUAUUCCCAUACUCAGUUUUAGACAUUUCUUGUUUUUCUUACUGAGAUAAAGUAUGUUAUUUUGAAAACCUAGUCUUCAGAAAUCACAUUCACUUUUUCAUUGGUUCAUUCAUUCUUGUAGUCAUUCAUUCACUGAGGUACCCUCCAAGCCCUGUGGGAGACCCUGUGUUGGGGGUAAGGGCCAUGUCAAUGGGCCAUCACUCAGAAAACUGUGGGAAUCGUGGUCAGGAUGGAAGUUCUGGAGUCAAACCUACCCUGAAUCCUGGCUCUGCUUCCCAUGUGCUCUGUGAUUCUGGGCAAGUUAUUUAACCUCUCAAAGCCUCCAAUUCCUCAUCUGUACAAUGGGGUCAUAAGCAUAGCCACUUCACUAGAUUCCUGUGAAGAUUACCUGAGAUAAUAUAUGGAUGUGCACUGUGCCUGGCAUACAGUAAACUCAGUAAAUGGUAAUAGAGGCAAUGGUAAAGAUAGUAGUAACUUUUAUUACUAACAAUUAUUAAUGAGACAAAUAGCAUGAGAGUGAUAGGAAAAGCGCUGUCAGUGGAGGGGAGAUUGUUGGACAGAAGAUAACUGGGAAGAUUUCAUAUAGAAUUUGACUUACUAGAUUUUUUUCACUUGAGGUUUAAAAAAAAAAUCUUAGUGGAGAAAUUGGGAAAUUCCCUUCCCUUUGCAUUUCAUUUUCUAUUACUUUCCUGAAGACUGAAACUUUGGUGUAGAAUUUAGCUGAAGGCUACAUCCCAGCAUUUGCAUUGGCCUUGGAGUGCCAGGGUAAUUAUUCUGUCAAUUAUUUGACUUUUUAAAGUCUGUCUACCUUGAAGAACCUCUGCAAAGGAGGAUCGUGUUAAUGUGUAACACCGAGAUAAGCAAGGCUCUGCUCUUUUUUUUUUUCCCAUGGCUGUUCAACUGGAAAACUGAAAUGGUUCUAUUUGCAUCUCAGCCAGCAGUGUUGAAAGGUGGGGGAUAAAUGGCUUUUACUAAUGAAGUACAGUGGGAUGUGAAUUUUAGCAAUGCAAAAUGCCAUGUAUCACCUGCAAUUUGUUUUUUUAAAACACACACACACCGAAAAA